rnacentral:rRNA from 1 species
AGACGUUUGUAGUCCUCGGACUCGAAGGCGAACGCUCGGCGGCGUGCUUAACACGAUGCAAGUCGAACGGAAAGGGACCCUGCUUUUGUUGGGGUGGCUCGAGUGGCGAACGGGUAGGAGUAACACGUGAGUAACCUGCCCUUGACUUUGGGGUAGUAACUUACUAGGAAACUGGGGCGUAAUACCGGAUAGGAGCUCCUGCUGCAUGGUGGGGUUGGAAAGUUUCGGCGGUUGGGGAUGGACUCGCGGCUUAUCAGCUUGUUGGUGGGGUAGUGGCUUACCAAGGCUUUGACGGGUAGCCGGCCUGAGAGGGUGACCGGCCACAUUGGGACUGAGAUACGGCCCAGACUCCUACGGGAGGGCAGCAGUGGGGAAGUAUUGCACAAUGGGCGGAAGCCUGAUGCAGCAACGCCGCGUGCGGGAUGACGGCCUUCGGGUUGUAAACCGCUUUCGCCUGUGACGAAGCGUGAGUGACGGUAAUGGGUAAAGAAGCACCGGCUAACUACGUG